rnacentral:rRNA from 1 species
CGGGGGUAGAGCACUGUUUCGGCUAGGGGGUCAUCCCGACUUACCAACCCGAUGCAAACUGCGAAUACCGAAGAAUGUUAUCACGGGAGACACACGGCGGGUGCUAACGUCCGUCGUGAAGAGGGAAACAACCCAGACCGCCAGCUAAGGUCCCAAAGUCACAGUUAAGUGGGAAACGAUGUGGGAAGGCUCAGACAGCCAGGAUGUUGGCUUAGAAGCAGCCAUCAUUUAAAGAAAGCGUAAUAGCUCACUGGUCGAGUCGGCCUGCGCGGAAGAUGUAACGGGGCUAAACUGUGCACCGAAGCUGCGGCAGCGACGCUUAUGCGUUGUUGGGUAGGGGAGCGUUCUGUAAGCCGUUGAAGGUGUGUCGUGAGGCAUGCUGGAGGUAUCAGAAGUGCGAAUGCUGACAUAAGUAACGAUAAUGCGGGUGAAAAACCCGCACGCCGGAAGACCAAGGGUUCCUGUCCAACGUUAAUCGGGGCAGGGUGAGUCGACCCCUAAGGCGAGGCCGAAAGGCGUAGUCGAUGGGAAACAGGUUAAUAUUCCUGUACUUGGUGUUACUGCGAAGGGGGGACGGAGAAGGCUAUGUUAGCCGGGCGACGGUUGUCCCGGUUUAAGCAUGUAGGCGGAACGAUUAGGUAAAUCCGGUCGUUUAUUAACGCUGAGGUGUGAUGACGAGGCACUACGGUGCUGAAGUAACAAAUGCCCUGCUUCCAGGAAAAGCCUCUAAGCAUCAGGUAACAUCAAAUCGUACCCCAAACCGACACAGGUGGUCAGGUAGAGAAUACCAAGGCGCUUGAGAGAACUCGGGUGAAGGAACUAGGCAAAAUGGUGCCGUAACUUCGGGAGAAGGCACGCUGAUAUGUAGGUGAAGUGAUUGACUCAUGGAGCUGAAAUCAGUCGAAGAUACCAGCUGGCUGCAACUGUUUAUUAAAAACACAGCACUGUGCAAACACGAAAGUGGACGUAUACGGUGUGACGCCUGCCCGGUGCCGGAAGGUUAAUUGAUGGGGUUAGCCGCAAGGCGAAGCUCUUGAUCGAAGCCCCGGUAAACGGCGGCCGUAACUAUAACGGUCCUAAGGUAGCGAAAUUCCUUGUCGGGUAAGUUCCGACCUGCACGAAUGGCGUAAUGAUGGCCAGGCUGUCUCCACCCGAGACUCAGUGAAAUUGAACUCGCUGUGAAGAUGCAGUGUACCCGCGGCAAGACGGAAAGACCCCGUGAACCUUUACUAUAGCUUGACACUGAACACUGGUCCUUGAUGUGUAGGAUAGGUGGGAGGCUUUGAAGCGCGGACGCCAGUUCGUGUGGAGCCAACCUUGAAAUACCACCCUUUAAUGGCUGGUGUUCUAACGUAGACCCGUUACCCGGGUUGCGGACAGUGUCUGGUGGGUAGUUUGACUGGGGCGGUCUCCUCCUAAAGAGUAACGGAGGAGCACGAAGGUUAGCUAAUCCUGGUCGGACAUCAGGAGGUUAGUGCAAAGGCAUAAGCUAGCUUGACUGCGAGAGUGACGGCUCGAGCAGGUGCGAAAGCAGGUCUUAGUGAUCCGGUGGUUCUGAAUGGAAGGGCCAUCGCUCAACGGAUAAAAGGUACUCCGGGGAUAACAGGCUGAUACCGCCCAAGAGUUCAUAUCGACGGCGGUGUUUGGCACCUCGAUGUCGGCUCAUCACAUCCUGGGGCUGAAGUAGGUCCCAAGGGUAUGGCUGUUCGCCAUUUAAAGUGGUACGCGAGCUGGGUUUAGAACGUCGUGAGACAGUUCGGUCCCUAUCUGCCGUGGGCGCUGGAGAAUUGAGGGGGGCUGCUCCUAGUACGAGAGGACCGGAGUGGACGCAUCACUGGUGUUCGGGUUGUCAUGCCAAUGGCAUUGCCCGGUAGCUAAAUGCGGAAGAGAUAAGUGCUGAAAGCAUCUAAGCACGAAACUUGCCCCGAGAUGAGUUCUCCCUGAGACUAUAAGUCUCCUGAAGGAACGUUGAAGACGACGACGUUGAUAGGUCGGGUGUGUAAGCGUAGCGAUACGUUGAGCUAACCGAUACUAAUGAACCGUGAGGCUUAACCUUACAACGCCGAAGGUGUUU